rnacentral:lncRNA from 1 species
UUCUUUGGGCAUCAAGUCAAGUUUCAGUCCUCUGUUGCGCCAAGUCAUCUCCUUAUUCUUCUUGACUUUGCUGUGGCUGAUGUUUGUCAGUCACAGAGUUUCAGCCACACACGAGUACAUGAGCUUGCUUAGCAGAAGUGCUGGCCAUGCCUGCUGGUUGCCACCCCACAGGAAAUCAUGCUCAUUUUUCUCUGAUAUUAAACAAAUACCCUUCCCUGAUGCAUUCUAACCACCUUGACCCAUUUCUCUCCAUUCCCUCCAAGCUCUUUGAAGAUAGUCUACUUUUAUAAUACCCUCUUUCUCUUUUAUCCCUUUUUCCUCACAUGACUGCGACCACCUUGUCUUCACCAUCACUGCACAAUUUUUCACCCCGAUCCCCUCUGGAUCACUACAUCCAAUGGGUCUCUUUCAGUAUUUACCUGAAGUUCUCACUCUCUGGCACUGGAUACUGUUGACCAUGCCUUUCUUUUCGGUUUCCUCCUUUGGUUUCUGUAUUACUACUGUCUCUUGUUCUCUUUUCAUCUCUCCGACUGUCCUUGGUAGAUUCCUUUUGUUUCAUCUGCCCCUCAGAUGUUGCUAUUUUUUACAGUUUUGCCCUGGUCAUCUUCUUUACUCUUUCACUCUGAGUGGUGAAAUUUUGACUGUAAUCUAUCCUAUAAUUCCUAUAAUUUUGACUGUAAUCCUAUACUUUUGACUGUAAUUUAUCUAUCAAUCAUUGAUUCUACAACUUAAAAAAAAAAACUUUUAA